rnacentral:lncRNA from 1 species
AUGGAGAGGGAAUGGGAGGGAAAGGAACACGGUGGAGGGGAAAAGAAGGGAUCAGGGGCUGGAAAAAAAACCCCAAAUUUUUGUUUAAGGGAUUUUUCCAUCCGGUGUAGGAGGCGAAUCCAGAGGGAGGGGGGAUGUGGGUGUUGGCAAAGCUGGUCCCGCCCUAAAGGGGCUCAGAGGGGGAUUUUGGGGGCUCCUCGGAGGUUGGGGUGGGGGUCUGGGGUGGGGAUGGGUGGGAUAGGGAUGCCACGAGCUGUGGGGGUGGAAAACUGGGAAUGUUCAGGGGUGUGGGGAUGCAAGAAAGCCAGGGAUGCUCAGGGUGAUGCUCAGAGGUUUGGGAUGCAGGAAAGCUGGGGAUGCUCAGGGGUUUGGGAUGCAGGAAAGUUGGGAAAGAUCAGGGUUUGGGAUGCAGGGAACUGGGGACGCUCAGGGGUUUGGGAUGCAGGAAAGCUGGGAAUGCUCAGGAUGGUGCUCAGGGUCUGGGAUGCAGGAAACUGGGAAUGCUCAGAAUUUGGGAUGCAGGAAAGCUGGGGAUGCUCAGGAUGGUGCUCAGGGUUUGGGAUGCAGGAUGCUGGAAAUUCUCAGGGCUUUGGGACACAGGAAAACUGGGAAUGCUCAGGAUUUGGGAUACAGGAUGCUGGAGAUUCUCAGGGCUUUGGGAUGCAGGAAACUGGGAAUGCUCAGGGGUUUGGGAUGCAGGAAAGCUGGGGAUGCUCGGGGUUUGGGAUGCAGGAAACCUGGGGAUGCUCAGGGUUUGGGAUGCAGGAAAGCUGGACAUCCUCAGGGCUUUGGGAUGCAGGAAAGCCUGGAAUGCUCAGGAUGAUGCUCAGGGUUUGGGAUGCAGGAUGCUGGAGAUCCUCAGGGCUUUGGGACACAGGAAAACUGGGAAUGCUCAGGGUUUGGGAUGCAGGAAAGCUGGGGAUGCUCAGGAUGAUGCUCAGGGUUUGGGAUGCAGGAAAGCUGGACAUUCUCGGGGCUUUGGGACACAGGAAAACUGGGAAUGCUCAGGAUUUGGGAUGCAGGAAAACUGGGGUGCUCAGGAUUUGGGAUGCUGGAAAACUGGGGUGCUCAGGAUUUGGGAUGCAGGAUGCUGGAGAUUCUCAGGGCUUUGUGAUGCAGGAAACUGGGAAUGCUCAGGGUUUGGGAUGCAGGAAAGCCAGGAAUGCUCAGGAUGGUGCUCAGGGUUUGGGAUGCAGGAUGCCAGAAAUUCUCAGGGCUUUGGGACACAGGAAAACUGGGGUGCUCAGGAUUUGGGAUGCAGGAUGUUGGAGAUUCUCAGGGCUUUGUGAUGCAGGAAACUGGGAAUGCUCAGGGUUUGGGAUGCAAGAAAGCCGGGAAUGCUCGGGGUUUGGGAUGCAAGAAAGCCAGGAAUGGUCAGGAUGAUGCUGAGGGUUUGGGAUGCAGGAAAGCUGGACAUCCUCGGGGCUUUGGGACGCAGGAAAGCCGGGAACCCUCGGGG